GGAAAAGAAACCAACAGGGAUUGCCUUAGUAGCGGCGAGUGAAGCGGCAAAAGCUCAAAUUUGAAAUCUGGCGCCUUCGGUGUCCGAGUUGUAAUUUGAAGAUUGUAACCUUGGGGUUGGCUCUUGUCUAUGUUUCUUGGAACAGGACGUCACAGAGGGUGAGAAUCCCGUGCGAUGAGAUGCCCAACCCUAUGUAAGGUGCUUUCGAAGAGUCGAGUUGUUUGGGAAUGCAGCUCUAAGUGGGUGGUAAAUUCCAUCUAAAGCUAAAUAUUGGCGAGAGACCGAUAGCGAACAAGUACAGUGAUGGAAAGAUGAAAAGAACUUUGAAAAGAGAGUGAAAAAGUACGUGAAAUUGUUGAAAGGGAAGGGUUUGAGAUCAGACUCGAUAUUUUGUGAGCCUUGCCUUCGUGGCGGGGUGACCCGCAGCUUAUCGGGCCAGCAUCGGUUUGAGCGGUAGGAUAAUGGCGUAGGAAUGUGACUUUACUUCGGUGAAGUGUUAUAGCCUGCGUUGAUGCUGCCUGCCUAGACCGAGGACUGCGAUUUUAUCAAGGAUGCUGGCAUAAUGAUCCCAAACCGCCC
rnacentral:rRNA from 1 species